CCUACGGGAGGCAGCAGUCGAGAAUCAUUCACAAUGGGGGAAACCCUGAUGGUGCGACGCCGCGUGGGGGAAUGAAGCUCUUCGGAUUGUAAACCCCUUUCAUGUGGGAGCAAAUCAAAAAGAUAGUACCACAAGAGGAAGAGACGGCUAACUCUGUUCCAGCAGCCGCGGUAAUACAGAGGUCUUAAGCGUUGUUCGGCAUCACUGGGCGUAAAGCGUGCGUAGGCUGUUUCGUAAGUCGUGUGUGAAAGGCUCGGGCUUAACCCGCGGACGGCACAUGAUACUGCGAGACUAGAGUUAUGGAGGGGGAACCGGAAUGCUCGGUGUAGCAGUGAAAUGCGUAGAUAUCGAGAAGAACACUGGUGGCGAAGGCAGGUUACUGGACAUUAACUGACGCUGAGGCACGAAGGCCAGGGGAGCGAAAGGGAUUAGAUACCCCUGUAGUC
rnacentral:rRNA from 1 species